UAGGGUUCUCCCCGUGUGGUGUGUAGUGCGUGGGACUUGCUUCUACAUUAGAUUUCGGUGGUUUUAGGGGACAGGAGAUUUCAUGACUUCGGUGUCAAGAAAGUUAGAGGCCUGAACCUGGAAACCAAGUUUGGGCUUAAAGGGAAAAGGUCGUGUUCAAAAAUUACUGUUCCACCAUCCUUAGCAAAGCAAUACUGUUUCAAGGUAAAUCCAGGUGAAGAUGUGGAGAAAUCAGGACCCUCACACACUUCUGGGCUGCAAUGAAGAGAGGAGGCCUAUUCCCACAGAGAGAAAGAAUAUUCCCAAAUAAAGGUUGUCAACAUGGAAGAGUGAACAGAUGUCACCAGAAGAUCUGGGAAAAGUGAAAUUUAGAAGAAUCUAUCCAACUUUCUUCUCUUGCCACUAAACUCCCAUCAGCUUGCUUGUGGGAUGGAUGCCUUAACAUGUAUGACUAGAAGACAAGGUGACAGGGAUUGCCAAGGCUGGAAAGACCCAGCAGCUACACUGUUCAAGAGACUGGAGCCUCAGAACAAGAGGAACUGAAGGGCUGGAAACUCCCUGGAGGAUCACUCAUCAGAGUCUGCUUUGAAAGUGUGAAGGAUUUGGAGUCUCAUGUCUUCAACUGAUCACGACAGCAAUAUAAGCACCAGCCCAAGAGGAA